rnacentral:snRNA from 1 species
CUCGCUUCUCGGCCUUUUGGCUAAGAUCAAAGUUUAGUUUCUGUUCUUAUCGAAUAUGUAUUCUAUGUAUUAUCCCUGGAUUUAAGUUAUACACGACGCCGUCAUGAAAUUUCU